rnacentral:lncRNA from 1 species
GUCUGCGCAUCUCGGUUGCCAUAGAAACAUGACGUCAUUACCGCGACCAUGACGACUUAUCUCUAGAGACCGACGUAGCGUGACGAGGGGAGCGGGUCCCGCCUUGGGGGUUCAGGACUGAGUUGGGAGAGUGGGUACCUGCGGUGGGGGCUGGGCCGCUCUGGGGUGUGAGGAGACAAAGGGAUCUCGUCCAAGUCGCCUCUUUCUCGCUUUGGAGCUCGAUGCCCUGGCUGUCUCGGCGGUAAAGCCAUUGGGGUCCCGCCCCGGCCGCAGUGAGUGCGGUGUCCUGUUCCAGGGGUGCCCUGGAGCCACUUUCCUUCUAGAGGCAGGGGCGCGUCAGGUGAAUUUCCAGGACUCAGGAUGAAAUUUGGACUGAACUUGCUUGGAAUGGAGUCCAUUCAAGGUCAUACACCAUGAGGUGGGUACUAACAUCCAUCUUGCUCCCUGUGCACAUUUCCAGUUAUGAAGAUCUAGAGAUCAAUGGGGACAAGAUGUGGGAUGCAGAUAUUUAAUUGGUCUGACAGUGCCUGGCACAGAAUAAACACCCAGUACACAUGAAUAAAUGAAUGAGA